rnacentral:pre_miRNA from 1 species
AGUUGGAUAACUGGGUCAAAUGGUGGUUCCAUUCCUAGUUUUUUGAGGAAUCUCCAUGCUGCUUUCCAGAGUGGUUGCACCAUUUUCAGUCUCACCAGCAAU